rnacentral:tRNA from 1 species
GGCUCAAAGGAGUAGAGCGCCAGCCUCAUAUGCUGGAGGUGGCGGGUUCAAACCCAGC